AGUAACCUGCCUUGGAGUGGGGAAUAACAGCUGGAAACAGCUGCUAAUACCGCAUAAUGCAGUUGGGUCGCAUGGCUCUGACUGCCAAAGAUUUAUCGCUCUGAGAUGGACUCGCGUCUGAUUAGCUAGUUGGUGGGGCAACGGCCCACCAAGGCGACGAUCAGUAGCCGGACUGAGAGGUUGGCCGGCCACAUUGGGACUGAGACACGGCCCAGACUCCUACGGGAGGCAGCAG
rnacentral:rRNA from 1 species